AAAUAAGAAGCAAUUUUUGCAUUUAGUUUCGACCUAAAAAUUUGAUUUUUAUUUAAUCCUUAUUUU
rnacentral:tRNA from 1 species